CCAGGUUGAGGUAGUAGGUUGUAUAGUUGAGAAUUACACCCCGGGAGAUAACUGUACAACCUCCUAGCUUUCCCUGA
rfam:Oreochromis niloticus linkage group LG14, whole genome shotgun sequence.